GGGGAUAACACUUGGAAACAGGUGCUAAUACCGUAUAACACUAUUUUCCGCAUGGAAGAAAGCUGAAAGGCGCUUUUGCGUCACUGAUGGAUGGACCCGCGGUGCAUUAGCUAGUUGGUGAGGUAACGGCUCACCAAGGCCACGAUGCAUAGCCGACCUGAGAGGGUGAUCGGCCACACUGGGACUGAGACACGGCCCAGACUCCUACGGGAGGCAGCAGUAGGGAAUCUUCGGCAAUGGACGAAAGUCUGACCGAGCAACGCCGCGUGAGUGAAGAAGGUUUUCGGAUCGUAAAACUCUGUUGUUAGAGAAGAACAAGGAUGAGAGUAAAAUGUUCAUCCCUUGACGGUAUCUAACCAGAAAGCCACGGCUAACUACGUGCCAGCAGCCGCGGUAAUACGUAGGUGGCAAGCGUUGUCCGGAUUUAUUGGGCGUAAAGCGAGCGCAGGCGGUUUCUUAAGUCUGAUGUGAAAGCCCCCGGCUCAACCGGGGAGGGUCAUUGGAAACUGGGAGACUUGAGUGCAGAAGAGGAGAGUGGAAUUCCAUGUGUAGCGGUGAAAUGCGUAGAUAUAUGGAGGAACACCAGUGGCGAAGGCGGCUCUCUGGUCUGUAACUGACGCUGAGGCUCGAAAGCGUGGGGAGCGAACAGGAUUAGAUACCCU
rnacentral:rRNA from 1 species